ACCACCGCAACCCGCGCGGAUCUGACCUGCCGUUAUCCGCUCGAAGACGAACCCGCUGCAGUACGGGACGAGAUGGGACGGAUCAACCUGUUUGACAUUCCUAUGACCAUGGGCCAUUCUUAAGACCAGCCCGACUCAGUUUUACCAGAUUGAACACUCCUACACUAUUGUUAUUUUAUAAAUGUUUUAUAGUUGUGAUUUUUUAUAAUCUUUUUCAAUACCACAUGAUUUUUUUGCAGUCCAAAAUACUACAUAUAUAUUUAUGAGAAAAAGACAAAAAUAGCACUAAAUCAAGUUUAUGUUCCCAAACUAGCACUCAAGGUCAAAAGUCACAAAAAUAGCACUUAAUGUUGGGCAAAUCCCCAAAAUAGCACAUUUCUAAGUUUAUAUCACAAAAAUAGCACUCAUAAACUAAUAUGACCAAAAUAGCACAUUUCUAAGUUUUUCCUUUGAAAAUUUUAAUUUUUUUAUUUUUCAAAAUUUGAAAUCUUA
rnacentral:lncRNA from 1 species